rnacentral:rRNA from 1 species
CCUACGGGAGGCAGCAGUCGAGAAUCAUUCACAAUGGGGGAAACUCUGAUGGUGCGACGCCGCGUGGGGGAAUGAAGGUCUUCGGACUGUAAACCCCUGUCAUGUGGGAGCAAAUUAAAAAGAGUGUAUCACAAGAGGAAGAGACGGCCAAACCUGUGCCAGCAGCCGCGGUAAUACAGAGGUCGCAAGCGUUGUUCGGAAUCACUGGGCGUAAAGCGUGCGUAGGCUGUUUCGUAAGUCGGGUGUGAAAGGCGCGGGCUCAACCGGCGGAGGGCACAGGAUACUGCGAGACUUGAGUAAAGGAGGGGGGACCGGAAUUCUCGGUGUAGCAGUGAAAUGCGUAGAUAUCGAGAGGAACACUCGUGGCGAAGGCGGGUUCCUGGACAUUAACUGACGCUGAGGCACGAAGGCCAGGGGAGCGAAAGGGAUUAGAUACCCCAGUAGUC